rnacentral:rRNA from 1 species
AUGGCUAAAUGCUCUCCUAACACCACCACUUCAUCCACAGACAAAAGGCAUUCCAGCCUUGAACUAGCAGAACAAUUUCUCCAGUUUCCAGAAACACAAGAAACUACCAUGAUGAGUGCCAAGAACCUCGCUCAGCUGGCCAAGAAGUGGCAGAGGGUGGUGGCUAUGGGGAGGAAGAGGCUCACCUCAUCAACAUCAGGGGAGGAAACCGGAGGGCCGUGUGGCACGUCGUGCUCGCCUGUGGCUGGCAAGGGCCACUUCGUCGUGUACACUACCGACGGUGCAAGGUUCGAGGUGCCACUUGCGUUCCUUGGCACGACCGUCUUCGACGAGCUCCUGAGGAUGUCCCAAGAGGAGUUCGGCUUCACAGGCGUUGAUGGUGGCAGAAUCACGCUGCCCUGUGACGCAUCAAUGAUGGAGUACGCCAUGUGCUUGCUCAGGAGAAAUGCGUCCUCAGAGAUGGAGGCUGCAUUCCUCAACACCAUGGCGAUGCCAUGCCACUAUCAUGCGGAGCCACAUCUCGGAGUUAGCCAGCAUUAUGGUGUCUGCAGCUCCUGA